rnacentral:lncRNA from 1 species
UGAUUCUUGAUAAACCUUACAACAACUUGCUUGGUUACAUUUGCGUAUGAUGUCGCUUUAACCCAUUUUGUGAAGUAGUCAAUUGCCACUAAAAUGAAACGAUGUACAUUAGAAGCUUUGGGCUCAAUGAUCCCAAUCAUAUCAAUUCCCCACAUUGAGAAGGGCCUUGGGGAAAAGAUAACAUUCAACAGUGUUGGAGGAACAUGAAUCUUAUCAGCAUAUAUUUGACACUUGUGGCACU